rnacentral:rRNA from 1 species
GAGUGAGGGCCCUCUGGGUCCAACCUCCCACCCGUGUCUAUCGUACCUUGUUGCUUCGGCGGGCCCGCCGUUUCGACGGCCGCCGGGGAGGCCUCGCGCCCCCGGGCCCGCGCCCGCCGAAGACCCCAACAUGAACGCUGUUCUGAAAGUAUGCAGUCUGAGUUGAUUAUCAUAAUCAGUUAAAACUUUCAACAACGGAUCUCUUGGUUCCGGCAUCGAUGAAGAACGCAGCGAAAUGCGAUAAGUAAUGUGAAUUGCAGAAUUCAGUGAAUCAUCGAGUCUUUGAACGCACAUUGCGCCCCCUGGUAUUCCGGGGGGCAUGCCUGUCCGAGCGUCAUUGCUGCCCUCAAGCACGGCUUGUGUGUUGGGCCCCCGUCCCCUCUCCCGGGGACGGGCCCGAAAGGCAGCGGCGGCACCGCGUCCGGUCCUCGAGCGUAUGGGGCUUUGUCACCCGCUCUGUAGGCCCGGCCGGCGCCAGCCGACACCCAACUUUAUUUCUAAGGUUGACCUCGGAUCAGGUAGGGAUACCCGCUGAACUUAAGCAUAUCAAUAACC